UCAAGUCCAAGCUGUCUGCUGCUUCAGUCAGGUACAACUAUUUCUGCCUGCUGCACCCCAUUGAAGAUAAUAUUUACUCUUUACAGAAAAAAAAAAUGCUCUCGUCUAACAUUCACAUUGUCAAAGGUACAAAGAGUCCAUCUCAAAAGGAACUCGAGGUUUGAAGGAAAAGCUGUUUGCUCGUAACAACUCAGUCAAGGAGCUUAGCAAAGGAGUUCAACGUGAGAUGACUGCAGGAAUUGCUGGUGUUGCACGAAUGUUUGAGCGCCUAGACCUUACCUCAAAGAAUCCUGGUUCCCCUACGCCAGUUUCUGAUCGUAGCGGGGGUACUUCAAACUUCUCUGCCAAGGGAAAGGCUGUGUUAGAAAAUGUGAUUGUUCAGUGUUGCAAUAAAAGCAGUGGAAGAAUUUCUGAUGAAACUUCAGAAGCACCCUCUCACAUCAUCAGGCCGACUUGACGUUUCUGAGCAGGUCCGCAAAUAUUUAUUGUUUUUUUCUCUUUUGAUACGCCGGAAAUAUUUACCUGUUGGGAAUAAUUUUCUAAUGCUUAGUUAUUGCUUGGUAUUAUUAAUAUUUACAGUCGGAACACUAAUACCUGUUUUUCUUUUGCAGAACUGGCAAUGUUGCUACACGGUUUGGGUUUAGCUCAUCUAAAGAAUAAUUGUUUGUGUUUCAUUUCUCAAGCAUAUGGCAUGUUAGCAAGUGACGUUAUGGUUGGAGCCAAGCUGCUGGUUGGUUUGCGUCCUGCAUGGCCUAUUUAUGCAAUACAGAAGAACCUUAGUUAUUCCAUGUGAAUGAGUUAUGUGCCAUGUCCGGCACUGUUUUUGCUUUGUUGCUUAGUGUUGACAUGUAUUCUGGAGAAAACCUCCUCAUCUGUACCAGUUGCAAAUGGAUUCCAGGAAAUACAUUAUAUAUAUAUAUCAGUUGCCUCGACUGGUUUAACCAUUUUAUAAUAUACAUCUUAUUUUGCUUCAUUGUUUAUAUUGGUUUAGUGCAAAAGUACUAACAUAAUCAAGAAAGAAAAGAAAAUGAGUGUGGCUAUUGGGACUUCUAAAUUUGCUCACUAUAUCUCUCAUUCUCUCUACACAUCCAUUUUACUUUUCAAUAAAGUAUUUGCUCACUAGACCUCAUUUCAAAUUCCUCUCAUUCUUUGUUUUUUUUUUUUUUUUUUUAUUCAACNNNNNNNNNNNNNNNNNNNNUAUCUUUUAAUUGUUUUUCUCUUUUCUUACGUGUUAUUUUUUCUCUAUUUUUUUUCUUUUGAAUAAUUUGAUCUCUAUUUUGUACCUUAUAAUAAAUUAUUUUCAAUAAAUAUAUAUUGAUAGAUAUUAUUAUUAUUAUUAUUAUUUUGCAAAAAUAUUUAUGCACCUUGCAUUGCAAGUACAUGCGUUCGACAUGUAUGAUAAUACAAAAUUUUAUGUCACAUGAUCGAUAUUGAUUAUUUUUUUAGCUCUUAUAAACUAUAUAUAUGCUUUGAUAAAAAGAAAUUGGAAAAAAAAAUAUAUAAGAAAAAAAAUAAAUAUUGGAAUAAAUUUUUAUUGAAUUGGUAAGUCUAAAGAGAAUAAAUAUAAUACUUUCUUUUGUAUAAUUAUUGUCUUUAAUAGUUAUUGUAUAUGAGGCUGGAUAUGUCAUUUAAUAAUUUACAAAUAGAGUGAGGUCUAGUGAGCAAAUUUGGAGGUCUUAAUAGCCGCACUCAAAGAAAAGAUAAGCAGAGCUACAAAUUAGUUUUUACGGAUCCUACAGACUUACCUGUGGGUGUAAGGCAAAGGUGAUCUGACUCUCGUUCCUGUUCCAGGUUGAUAUCAGCUGGCUAUUGAAUUCACUCCCCUGAUGGUGUGCAUAUCUCUCAUUUCUGGUGGUAGAGAUGUGAUGAGUUCGAGUCACCUUUUUUUAGGCCCUCAAGUUAUCCACGGGAGUUCUUCGAACUUCUCCAUUUGCAUUGAGGAAUCUUCAGCAAAGAUGAGAAACUUUUGCAGUUUGCUCAUUUGUGAAGCCCCUCCAGGCCAAACUGUGGUCUUGCAAAAACUAAAAAUAGCUACUGCUUUGCAUGUUUUUUUCUUGGUUUUUACUUUGGUUUUGUUUUGUUUUUGUUUUUGACGAGUACUGCUUUGCAGGCUAUUCUCAGGCAUUUGUGUAAUAGCCAGACACAGGUCCUCUUCCAUACCUGCUUGCUAUAUGUUGCAGGGUCUCGAUUCUGAUAUCACAGUAAUUACUCUCUUUGAUGACAACUUAUCAAAAUUGAAACAUUUUAUGACUCGCCUGAACCUGUACUACCUAACUCCAGGAACAUCACCAGGGUACAUCAUGGCCUUUAUGUCCAAAUCCAAAAAUGAACACCUUAUGAUUCUCUUCGAUGUGGUUAAACCAACAUUUGUCACAAGGGCAGCAAUUUUCUUCCCAUUCUUAAUAAGCUGCAUGCACAUUUUCUAAUGGUGUAGGGCUGCUUAGCCUUAUUACCAAUUUUCAGAAUGUCUAUGAAUUGUCAGUGCCGCCUUUGUGUUCUACUCAGCCAAGUCAGCUCGCGACCUACUACUAUUUUCCCCAUGACGACACAACAAAAAAGAGUCUCAACCAAUGACUGCAAGUCUGCAACAGUCACUCACUAGCUUAGCGAUGGCGCUUUGACAGUAUUCAACUUCCUUGCUCUUCAAAAUCCGCUUCACGAGCCUCGCAGUGCUUUGACAGUAUUUUCUGGACAUUGCAAUUUAUAUCUAAGAAGAGGAGCUUGGAAUUACUCAGAUCAGUCAUAUCCAUUAUAUGAUUUAUAUGCCAUUGCAUAUAUGCAUGUUAUCUGUACGUGUGUGUCUGUUUGAUUUCAACUUCUUUACUAAAGACUUCCAAUGCGUAUCAUAAUAUGUAAAAGUACAAAUUCAUACGUUCCAGUUUAGUCAAAAUCUUCUCAUAUUAUUAUUAGAGUUCAAUUGGAGCUGGCAUGUAAACUAGAUUCAAUGAUAAACAAGACGAGAGUUAUUUCCUCAAGUCACACAGACAACUAAACAUGACAAAUCCAAACUACAAAAACGGAGUAAAACAAACUAAAGUACUAUAUUCCAGGGCACCAGAGGCGGUCACUUCCACAGUCACUACACCUGUCUGAGAUUACCCCUUUAUUUUCAAACUUAACUUCUACAUCACUAGUGUUUGAACUCUUGGGAUACAUCAAAAUUUCCUUCUGGAACUUCUCUUCUGUGAUAUGACGAGUCUUAAAGAGAAGAAUACCACAGGUGACUAUAGUCAUAUGCCUCAGAACUUCACCAUAUCCCAACUGGAUCAUCAUGUCCCGUGUUGAGUUAUAGAAACAGUCUUGAGGUGUGAAACCACACAAAUAGGCACAAUCUCUGGUGGCUCGAAAGGAAUGUAUCCUUCAUAUUCUUCAUCAUACCAUGUUCUGAAAUCAAUGUCUAAGACAAGAUCUUCAAGCUUAGGUGUUCGCUUGAGUAACUCCAUUACAUAUUCCAAAUAAGAGCAACCAAAAAGAUUGAGCUUCAAUUGCUUCACGUUACUAAAGUUUGGCAGUGAACAUGUCUCAAAUUUUAAACCUGGUAGAUUCAAAUACUCAACCCUGGAAACUCCUGCAAGUAAAGCAGUUUCACAGUUCAAAAGCCAUGGACUUACUUUUCGAAUAUAUGUGUUUUCUAUGUCGGCUUUGACCAGGGAGUUUACAUUCUGCAUGAUAUAUUUUGCAGGAUUUAAAACAUAGACAACAAGGUUUUGAAGCUUUGGGGCAUUGAUAGUAAUCUCUUCCUCUGUUUGACUGUCUGCAUAAAUUCUUGUUCUUAAAGUUUGCAAUUCAGGGCAGCAGCAAAAAAAUUUCUCAAUGAGGAAUUAUCUCCAUUUGUUGCUGUAAUAUCAGCGAACUUGAGGCUAGGAAAACAACCUGGACUAGUAGAUGGAUAGGUAAUACAAUUUGAAUGGACCUUCAAAACCUCCAGAGUUUUGCACCGGACAACUCUUCUAGGCAGUUUCAACUCUAACUUGUCUGAGUUGUCUCUCCAGGACUGAGUAGGGUUAAAAUAAAGAUCAAGUUCAGAAAGCUCAUGCCUCAUGGCAGCACAUAUCCAAUUUCGAAUGCGAGAAAAAUGUUUCUCUUGAACAUUGUAAAUGUUUUCAAUAUGAAGACGAAACUUGUAAGGAAAAUAGUCUUUAGAUAGAAAGAAGAUCAGCUGUAUCUCAUCAGCAGUAUAACCCUAUUAGACAGUAUCUUCUUUAUUAGGGAUUUACUUAUCUGUAUAUAUAUGUUUCCUUAUAGAGUUUAGUUUCCAAGUCAGUCACAAUUACUCUUGUAUAUGUAUUCCCUCUGUAUCAAUGAAAGAUUAUUCCACCAGAACUAUUAUCUUUUCAUGGUACCAGAGCAGUGAUAAGAUCCUGUUCUAUCGUUGCACUCUAAUUUCUCGUGCAGCCUCCCUAUCUCAGCCAAUCCCAUCAUCUCCAAAACCUGACUGUUCUAUUCCUAAGACCUCAGAAUCCUCAAAAUCCUCACCACCAAAAAUUGAUUCUGUUCCAAAGGAUUCAGAAACCUUAUUAGAGGUUUCAAGUCCCUAUCUCAUUCACCAUUCCGAUCAUCCUCGAUUGGUUCUCAUCUCCAAACCCUUGAAUGGAGACAAUUUCUCUGGUUGGAAAAGGGCUAUGGUUCGAGCCUUAAAUUCCAAGAAAAAGCUCGGAUUCGUCAAUGGCUCUAUUAAAGCUCCUUCAGAAACAGCUGACCCUAAUGGUUAUGCGAUUUGGUCAAGGUGUAAUGACAUGGUCCACUCUUGGAUCGUUAAUUCUUGCGAUCCAGAAAUAGCCGAAAGUGUGACCUAUUAUCCUACUGCCUAUGAAGUUUGGGAGGAUCUUCAUGAACGCUUUUCUCAAGCAAAUGCGACACGCAUCUUUGAGAUUCAGAGAGAUAUCAACUCUCUUCGACAAGAACAACUCUCAGUUUCAGUCUAUUACACAAAGUUGAAGGCUUUAUGGGAUGAAUUAUCAACACUUGAUGCAACACAACAAACAGAUCAACAGAAAUUGAUGCAAUUCCUUAUGGGAUUGAAUGAAACAUACCAGGCUAUCCGAGGACAAAUUCUUCUCAUGAAGCCUCUGCCCACUGUUCGACAAGCCUUCUCCUCUGUCCUUCAAGAAGAAAAGCAACGUCUGAUUGCUUCAUCCCACAUGGUGGAAGACUCCGGCAGCGCUGCCAUGGCAGUCCAAUCCGAGAAUAACAGGUCGGCACCGGAAGCAAGGAAUGAUCAAGCUAAUCGGUUUUCUGGAAAUAACAAUCGGUUUUCUGGAGGAGACCGCUCUAAUCGCAGCACCUGGAAUGAUCGAACAGAGCGUGGUGGAGGAACUCAUCGCGGCUCCUGGAAUGGAGGACGACGGGGUGAUCAAAACCACCGUCGUUUUGGGUCAGAAAGACGAAGGCCUCAAUGUACCUAUUGUGGUGAUAUGGGCCACUGGGUUCAGACUUGUCACAAAUUACAUGGAUACCCAGAAGGCCACCCUAAAGCAAGAGAUAAUCCAGGUAAUUUUAACAGAACAGCUGCUGCUAAUUAUGCUUCAGAGGAGAGGUUGGUUUCGAUUCCAGAAGACCAACUAAAACAAUUGCUGUCACUUAUCCCCAAAACUCAAGAUGAGGACUCCAAUAACAAAACCAGGUUUGUCUAAAGUUGCUUCCCGCAAUUGGAUUAUUGAUAGCGGGGCAACCGAUCAUAUUACUUCCUCGUCUAAAUUAUUGCAUAAAGUUGAAGAUUAUUAUUCGUUGCCAUCGGUAUCAUUACCUAGUGGAGAGCAAGCCAAAAUUGUUGCAAAAGGAUCUUUUCCUUUGAAUUCCGAUUAUUAUGUGCAUGAUGUAUUAUCAGUGCCUACAUUCAAAGUUGAUCUGCUGUCUGUUAGUCGUUUGACGAGAAAUUUGAAUUGUUCAGUGACAUUUUAUCCAUAUUGGUGUAUUUUGCAGGAUCUGG
rnacentral:lncRNA from 1 species